AUCUGCAAAAACAUAUUAUUAUUAUAUUCUCAUAAUCUCUACGUUUUCUUUUCUUUUUUACCAAUGAAUUUGUAAUGACUAAUGAUUUAUGAUUAUACCUCCAGUUGUUCGUGUAGCCUUUUUUGAACUUCCACCUGUAAUCGUAAUGCUUCCGUCAUCUCCAAACUCCUGUUGUAAAGCAAAAAAGAAGACAUUUUGAAGAAAUGGGACUAAAAGCGUUAAAGAAAGAAACUUUUGGAAUUAAAAGAUUAAAAGAGAAGAAAAUCUGGAAAAAAAACGUUCUCACGACGUGAGACUUAAAGAAUUCACGACAUGAAGAGUUGGUUCUAGAAGAUAUGUACGCGGGUGAAGGAAUCCUUGACGGGCAAGGUUAUCUGAAAUUCACAACGUGAAUAUCUUAUUAUUCACGACGUGAAUUUGUGAAAAUCAGCAACUAUAUAAAUCCUUGACCAUUACGAAUAGAGGGAACUUUUUGCAAGAGAGAGGAGUUCCAGAAGACGAUUUUGAGCAGUGAAAAGUUCUGGGAAAAGGCUUUCAACACCAAAAGAGUGAAGGUCCAUAUUUAGAUUAUUUAAUUGAUAAUUAGGAACAUGUUUUAUAUCACUUUGAUUUGUGUUAGUAUGUUAGUUGCUAUGAUGAGCAGCUGAAUCUAGCUACUCUUGUUUAGCUAGAUGAAGCUUUUAACUUAUGAAUAGCUCAAUUUUAUGGAUUUAUUUAGUUGGUAAAAUUGCUUGUG